rnacentral:rRNA from 1 species
AGGGUUUGAUCAUGGCUCAGGACGAACGCUGGCGGCGUGCUUAACACAUGCAAGUCGAACGGGAGAGGAUGAGGAAAUGCUUCGGCAUGGAGACAUCUGAUCUAGUGGCGGACGGGUGAGUAACGCGUGAGCAACCUGUCCUGCACAGGGGGAUAACACUGAGAAAUCAGUGCUAAUACCGCAUGAGACCACAGUAUCACAUGGUACAGGGGUCAAAGGAGAAAUCCGGUGCAGGGUGGGCUCGCGUCCCAUUAGCUAGUUGGUAGGGUAAAGGCCUACCAAGGCGACGAUGGGUAGCCGGACUGAGAGGUUGGCCGGCCACACUGGGACUGAGACACGGCCCAG